UGGCACGGUACGAUUCCGUGGGGUGGGUUUAAUGGGAUGUGAACCCUGUGCGCACAACCUGCCUAACGCUUAGACCCUGUAUUGGUGAAGGUAAGUGAGGAGGCAUCCAAAAUCUGAAAGCCAUUACGGGGCGUGCGGGACUACGAAAGUGUUCAAG
ncrna:unclassified sequences RAGATH-36 RNA